AAACCACAAAAACCCCCAAAAAACAAGCCCCAAAAAGCCCAAUAAUUUGCAUACCGUUUGUCACCCUCGCUCAGUAUUCCCCCCCACCCCACCGCUUCUUUUAUCGCCCCUUUCACCCCCGCCCAGACCGACCCUUCUCCCCCACUUCCCCGCAACCCGGGUGCAACCGGAUGGCAAAAAUCAAAGCUGGAUCCAAUUUACCCCAGUUGUCUUCCUUUGAACACUCAUAAGGAGUCUGCCCCUGAUUUUAGUCCAAAGGAGCUUCUCUUUGAAAUGGCGUGUCCAGCUUUGGCGUUUGCCUGCUGAGGAAGAGUCCUGCUCUCUUCUCCACUCUUGGUACAAGGAUUUUUCUCUCUCCGAGUAAUUCCUCAGCAUCGCCUUGAAAGACAUCUGCCACACUAGAUAACUUUUUCAACCCACAAGACUGAAACAACUUCCCUUAAUUGAAAUGACUCCAGAACAGCUACUCCCUGGAAGACAUCCUCCUUGAUUUCUUGUGGGGCCUGUAAGAUGACUGAAGUCGUAGGAUGUCUGAAGUAGAAAAGAGUGCCAGAGACACCACAGAACAUGGGGAAUGUUGUCCUGCUUCUGAGGUUCAGAUACACAACUCAGCCAUGGGCAGCUGAGGAUGGACUUUCUGCCUCCAUAGGUUUCUGUGGACAAAGACAUAAUUUUGAGCUGCCAGCAUCCCCAAAGAUGUCAGAAAUGUCAUUCACCUGUACCUCCUUCCUGAUGAAACAUGCUGGAGCCAUACAUUUACAUGCUGUUCAAUCAGGACCACGCACAUGUGGAAGUAGUACCUGACUUCUGCAGUCUCCCAUUUAUUGUACCACACACCUCCACGCCAGGUCAGAGGAAGACCCCUUUGAAAAUGAGGCGCUUGAUGAUUGCAGAGGGACAGCAAAGACAUGGAAAAGACAUUGAGGUCCUGUUGCUCCUAUUGGAAACUUCUGUUGGCUGCAGCAUGAGUUGGAUUGGACCCAGAGAAACUGAAUACACACAAGUAAUGAUGAGUUGGCCAUACAAGCAAGGAAAAUCACAGAUAACAGGUGCACGCCAAUUAGCAAGGUACCUUUUAGGUCAUCCAAUACAGCUCCGUGUCACAAUGAGAUUGUUUCAUAUGGUAUAUUUUUUGGGGUUUUUUUUUUGUGCCUAGAUUAAAUGCCCUGGUGAUGCCAUGUCUCUACGGAGAGGUUAUGCUGCCUACAGUAUCUUUUGUCAGGAGUUUUUUUACUUUCUUAACAUCAUCAUAUUUCUUCUUUUUACAACCCUUUGCAAAUUUCCUUCUUUCCCUUCAUUGAUAUCUUUUAACUAGUGUGGUGAUGUGUUUAGUUAACAUUAGGCCAACCCAUAGAUAUUUGGAUCACUUAAUCUUCCCUAACCUAGAAGUCCUUUCAGUUUUCUUGUUACUCCUCAUCUAUUCUAGUCACACUAGAUAGCUUGUCAGUAUCUUUUUUAGCUAUGAGAUUCUAAAGAUGCGAUACAUUUCUAUAAACUAGCAACAGAUCUGAUGUAGAGCUGAGCACCAUUCAUGUCUCCUCACUGAAAAUCUUUCCUGAUGUGUCCAGAGGAAAGCUGCCAGCACUCUGAACAGGCAUACAGGUAGAGUGCUCAAACCACUUCCUUGGUGCCUCUUACUCUAUUUGCCAACAAAAUCCUAUUGAAACAGUUGAUCUAGCAGUUCAAAAACCAAAUGCAUGUCAUUAUGGAUUUAUUUUAUUUCUCAUAAUGUAAAAAAGACAGAUUAGUACAGAUAAAAAGACCUUUGUUGCUGUUUUUGAGAUUUUCUAGUUCUUGGUAAUGGACGUCAUAUUCUAAAAUUAUGGAAGACGUCAUCUUCCAUAACUAUGUCUGAGUGCUAGGAAAGUACGUUGUAGAAAGUAAUUAUAUACAUAGCUGCAAGCCUAGCUGUUCACUUCAAGCAAUAAAUUCUGAUCUACAAACAACACUCCUUUAGAGCUAAAUAUGAUCUUGGUUGUAAUGGACUGUCUUUACCUUAGUGUUCUGUUGUAUUGGAGGAAUAUAAUUUUAAUCUGCUGUCUUUAAAUUUUCAUUAAGGAACGUUUCAGCUACCUGCAGCCUCAUCCGAUGACGUUUAAUGAUAUCAGCUAGCUUGAUCUUCCUCCAUGCACCAGCAGGGACUUCUUUAAAUUGCUCAACUGUAUGGAACACUGUUUUCAAGUUUAAUGUACUUGGAAUUGACCUUUUAAAGUAAUGGCAUUUCUAAACACAGUUUAAAUACAGUUUAAAUACGUAGCACACACAUAUGUUUGCAUUUAUAUGUGCAUGUGUGUGUACACCUAUAUAUAUAUAUGUAAGUGCACACAUAUGUAUGGAAAUGCUGAUCCUAUUCACCUUUUAAAAAUCAUUACAGCUAGUAUUAACAUGAAUGUGCUGUUAAAUUGGCAGUGUUAUACAUUUUUGUUGGAGUUUACUUCUGUAACAUAAAACCAGAAAGAUAAGCUGUGAAACUCGUGCAGCUGAUGACAUAAUUCUAGAAUCUCAUGAUGCUGAAUCUCAUAUUGCUAGGAGUGUGGGAUGGAUGUUCUUUGCUGAAAUAAUUAUACUGUCUCUUGCAAUAUAUGUUUCCUUGUUUUCAUGUGGGUGCUGAGAAGUCCAAACCAUUAAACAUAAAUGGUACAAUGAG